UCAAAAAAAUGAAAUCUCACUAUUGUUCAUCUUAAUAAAUCCUCUUUCGUAGGAUUUACAAAACAAAAUUAGGUUUCUAAGGUGAAAUUGAGUUGGUUGUGUUAUUUCAAAUCAAUAAUGCGUUUUUGCUGAUUAACUUAACAUGUUUGCAUUGGAUCUACACAACUUUCUUGAACAAAACGCAUUAGAUUAGGAAAUGUGUCCCUCUAUGGUUGCCGUAGCAUUAUUUCACAAUUUAGGAGGACCAUGGUGAGGACUCCGCCAGAGACGGUUGAGAAAGUGAAGGUCCGCCAUUUUUUCCUCGCUUGCUCACGGAACAUUUUUGGAUCCUGUAAUUACAAGGCCUUUAUGUGGCAGUGCAAAUGUGGAGCGGAAGACCGGAGUGUCAUCAAGUUCUCAUUUAUUGAAGUAUUACAGAAUGUCAGAACUCGACAUCAUCUGCACAAGGCUGUCUACUGUGUGUGCGUAGGAAGGGAGGAGAUCAUGGCUGCCAUUGACUAGAAUUAUACCAUUGGCUUGUUGAGAGCUUGCAACCUGAAAGCACUUGUGUACUUAAAUGAAGGCUCUGAGAAACUCAUAAAGGAAUACCU